rnacentral:rRNA from 1 species
ACGAGUUUGACUCCGUGGCUACGAGGACACGCUGGCGGCAUGCCUAACACAUGCAAGUCGAACGGAGAAAAGGAGCUUGCUUCUUUCUAGUGGCGGACGGGUGAGUAACGCGUGAGCAACCUGCCUUGGCAUGGGGGAUAACGUUUGGAAACGGACGCUAAUACCGCAUAUCGCAUAGGGACCGCAUGAUUCUUAUGCAAAAGAUUUAUUGUGCUAAGAUGGGCUCGCGUCCCAUUAGAUAGUUGGUGAGGUAAACGGCCCACCAAGUCGACGAUGGGUAGCCGAACUGAGAGGUUGAACGGCCACAUUGGAACUGAGAUACGGCCCAGACUCCUACGGGAGGCAGCAGUGGGGAAUAUUGGGCAAUGGGCGCAAGCCUGACCCAGCAACGCCGCGUGAAGGAAGAAGGCUUUCGGGUUGUAAACUUCUUUUGUCGAGGAAGAGUAGAAGACUGUACUCGGCGAAUAAGCCACGGCUAACUACGUG